AUGAAGAGCAGGAGGCAGAGCGGCCGCGGAGGAGCCAUGGCGGUGGACGGGAGCCACACCCACACCACAAGCAGCGGCUGCAAGAUGGAGCGCAAGGAGGUGGAGAAGAACCGGCGGCUGCACAUGAAGGGACUCUGCCUCAAGCUCUCCUCCCUCGUCCCCUCCUCCUCCUCCUCCGACCACCACCUCCGCCAUUAUUCUUCCUCGCCGCCGUCCAGCAACAAGGACGCGGCGACGCAGCUGGACCAGCUGGACAGCGCCGCGGCCUACAUCAAGCAGCUCCGGGGCCGCAUCCACGACCUGAAACGCCGCAAGCAGGCCGCCCUCUCUCUCUCCGGCGGCACCGGCGGCUGCUCAUCCUCCGUCUCCGCCGGCGACUACAAGGCACACACUACGACGUCGCUGCCGGUGAUCGAGGUUAGGCAUCAGGACGGGACGCUGGACGUGGCGCUGGCGAGCGAGGCCGGGCGUCCCUUCCGGCUGCACGAGGUGAUGGCGAUGCUGGAGCAAGAGGGCGCGGAGGUGGUCAGCGCCAGCUUCUCCGUGGUGGGGGACAAGAUCUUCUACACGCUCCACUCCCAGGCGCUCUGCCCACGCAUCGGUCGGGUCGCCCAGAGGCUGCGCGGCCUCGCCGCCGCAGCCGCAGCCACCGUCUCGACGCUGCUGACAUGA
rnacentral:rRNA from 1 species